ensembl:lncRNA
CCGGAGCCUAUAAAACUACGUCCGCCGAGCAAGGAGUAACAGUCACAUGAGCUCCGGAUGGGUUGGUGACCAGGGCGCUGGUAUAAUUACAAUCCCUCAGGAACUUGAACAACGCUCGAGUCCUGUUCUCGACAGAUGGAAAACGGACCCAUCCCCCUCUCCACUAGGACCUGAGCUCAUCUCCACCAGCAGUGUUUCAUGUGCGGGGGCGUGGCCACGCAGUUCCAGCUGUUCCAGCCACGCUGAUCACCCGCACCCGACAGUAAUUUCCAAUCAGGACCCAGCAUAUAUACCCCAGCCUUCCAAACAUUUUUCGCCGGAUCGUCAGUUCUACUUACCCGUCAUCUCCACCACGUCCAUUCUCCAACCCUGCUCUGCUGCCGGAGUUCCAUCUGCACCGUGUCGUCGGGUGUGGUUGUCGGCUCGGCUGCCUGCUGACUCCUCUAAUCCCGGUUCGGGCCUCCCGGCACGUGGACCGCCACCACCUGCACCACCUUUAACCAUCCGUGUAAACCAGUCAAUUGCUAUCGUCCUCGUCUGUGGUCAGUUGUGCCGUGCGUUUGGGUCCACCCUGUCUUGAGCCGUAACACUAACCUUUUUUCUAACGCUGAACAACUGCCUUGACGACUUUCAGUGCAGCCUUUGACACUGUGGACCACACCAUAUUACUUCAGCAACUUGAGCACUGGGUUGGCUUCACUGGUGUUGUAAUCAGGUGUCUUAAAUCCUACCUAUGAGACAGGAGCUUCUCUGUUACAGUUGGAAACUGGUCCUCAGCAUCUACAUCUUUGACCUGUGGAGUUCUCCAGGCUCAAUCUUGGGUCCACUAUUAUUUAACCUUUACAUGCUGCCACUUGGUCAACUUAAUAAUAAUAAGGCAUUUUAUUUAUGGGUUCCUUUCUUGACACUCAAGGUCACCUUACAAAAUCAAACAUCCAUAGUAG